GUGAAAGGUCACAUCAGACACAGAUAAAUUCUAUUGCUUUGGAAUGUUGCACAGCAAACAAUUAUACCUGGUGGGACUCUUUACAGGAGCGUGCCUAUUAACGAUGGGGAAGCAGACCUGCUUUUCUUUGUACCACAUCUCUGAACAAAAGAAGAGAAGUGUUGGUUCUGCAGGUUGCUGCUUGUGUGGGCGGGGGACCGAAUUCGCUGCCUCUGGGUGGAGAGGAGAAGCUCACCACUUUCCACACCCAGUCCUGAACUGCAAGAAGGGAAACCUACCCAGCAGCUGGAAGGAAUCCAGAAGACGUGGACCAACCCACAGCUUCUCCCUUUGGAGAGAGGUGUGUCCAUCCGUUUCUCAGGCCUGCUGAAGCCUUGAGAUUAUUGAGGGAUUGCUUGCCUCGGAGGCAUUUCACUUCAGCAGGCUCAGUCCUGGCCAGCAAUGUUCCACGCUCUCUAAAUAGACACGCUUGGCCGGCUGAGAAUGUGAAAUCCCAAAAACCACAGCUGCUGACCUAGAGUUCUGUAGACCCCCUCAGCCCCUUAGGACCAAAGAAACCCAGCAGUGGACAGCCCUGUGUAGG
rnacentral:lncRNA from 1 species